CACCGUGCUCUCUGAUUGGUAGGAAAGUCUUUAAUUGCUGAAGGUGUGGUGAUAUAAGUGAAGGACGCUUAUUGUAUGAUCCCCUAGGAAAGACUCCGCCAGGACUGCAGGCGUCACUUUGGUCGAGACUUUCUCUUCUGACAUGUGGAACCCCAAUUCAGGAACGCCUGGUGGGAUGCCGCCGCAGCAGCCUUACCCUCCUGCUCCUGGA